UACGAAGGGGGCUAGCGUUGCUCGGAAUUACUGGGCGUAAAGCGCGUGUAGGCGGUCUCGCGAGUCGGGUGUGAAAGCCCGGGGCUCAACCCCGGACGUGCAUUCGAUACUACGAGGCUGGAGUACUGUAGAGGAGAGCGGAAUUCCCGGUGUAGAGGUGAAAUUCGUAGAUAUCGGGAGGAACACCAGUGGCGAAGGCGGCUCUAUGGACAGUGACUGACGCUGAGACGCGAAAGCGUGGGUAGCAAACAGG
rnacentral:rRNA from 1 species